rnacentral:rRNA from 1 species
CGCUAGCGGCAGGCCUAACACAUGCAAGUCGAACGGUAACAGGGAUUGCUUGCAAUCCGCUGACGAGUGGCGCACGGGUGCGUAACGCGUAUGCAAUCUGCCUAUAACUGAGGGAUAGCCCAGAGAAAUUUGGAUUAAUACCUCAUAAUAUUGUUUUUUGGCAUCAUUAAACAAUUAAAACUUCGGUGGUUAUAGAUGAGCAUGCGUCCUAUUAGCUUGUUGGUAAGGUAACGGCUUACCAAGGCAACGAUAGGUAGGGGGCCUGAAAGGGUGAUCCCCCACACUGGUACUGAGACACGGACCAGACUCCUACGGGAGGCAGCAGUGAGGAAUAUUGCGCAAUGGAGGAAACUCUGACGCAGCCAUGCCGCGUGCAGGAAGACGGCCCUACGGGUUGUAAACUGCUUUUAUAUAGGAAGAAACCCCGAUACGUGUAUCGGCUUGACGGUACUAUAUGAAUAAGGACCGGCUAACUCCGUGCCAGCAGCCGCGGUAAUACGGAGGGUCCAAGCGUUAUCCGGAUUUAUUAGGUUUAAAGGGUCCGCAGGCGGAAUAUUAAGUCAGUGGUGAAAGCCUACAGCUCAACUGUAGAACUGCCAUUGAUACUGUUAUUCUUGAGUGUGGUUGAAGUGGGCGGAACAUGUCAUGUAGCGGUGAAAUGCAUAGAUAUGACAUAGAACACCAAUUGCGAAGGCAGCUCACUAAGCCAUUACUGACGCUGAGGGACGAAAGCGUGGGGAGCGAACAGGAUUAGAUACCCUGGUAGUCCACGCCGUAAACGAUGAUCACUCGUUGCUAGCGAUACAC